CCCCCCACGCAGCCGUGAACUUGGUUUCGCAGCCCUAGCCGCGGCCCGUGUCUGGGAGUAAUACGGCUAAGAAGUAGAGAUUUUCUGCUAAAGGACUAUCAACUGAUAGAUUUGUUAAGAGCCAUAAGGUUCACUCUGCUUGAUCAACUGAUGCCAGAAAUUCUGCUUCCAUCAUGAGGAUAAGUUCAUGCAAGCCUUUUGAAGUAUGAGAAACUUCUGGAACAAGCAAAGUCAUUCCUAGUCAAGAUCAUUUUACAUAUGUGAUUGACUCUUACAGAGACCAGGAAAACCAUCAAGUCAGUCUGGGCCAACACCUGUGCAUUUAUAAAGAUAAUAAAUUGUUGUUGUUUUAAUUUCCAAA